rnacentral:ncRNA from 1 species
GCCUUCCUUGUCAUGGGGUGGUUCGGGAGGCUCGAUGAGCGGAAGUGAGAGUCUCCCUGCUGACACCAUCACAACACGUCCGCACCGCCGGACUUCCGGUCCGGGUCCAGGUGCAAUUUUUGGAACC